GUCGAGAAUCAUUCACAAUGGGGGAAACCCUGAUGGUGUGACGCCGCGUGGAGGAUGAAGGUCUUCGGAUUGUAAACUCCUGUCAUGUGGGAGUAAAGCCGGGUGUUAAAUGCAUGCCGGUCUGAGAGUACCACAAGAGGAAGGGACGGCUAACUCUGUGCCAGCAGCCGCGGUAAUACAGAGGUCCCAAGCGUUGUUCGGAAUCACUGGGCGUAAAGGGUGCGUAGGCGGCGCGGAAAGUCAGGGGUGAAAUCCCGGAGCUCAACUCCGGAACUGCCUUUGAUACUCCCGCGCUUGAGAACUGGAGGGGAGACCGGAAUUCACGGUGGAGCAGUGAAAUGCGUGGAUAUCGUGAGGAACACUAGUGGCGAAGGCGGGUCUCUGGACAGUAUCUGACGCUGAGGCACGAAGGCCAGGGGAGCGAACGGGAUUAGAUACCCCGGUAGUCC
rnacentral:rRNA from 1 species